rnacentral:lncRNA from 1 species
UAGGCAUAAGCAUGUCGAGGGACCUUAACAGAAGCCCACUGGGCCUUGUACCUAGUAAGGGAGAUUCCUCUCUCGUGUUGUACAAUUUGGACAUAAUGGGCCUUUGGGAAAAAAAUUGGAAAUUUAAUAAAAAGAAAUUAAAAAGUAACAACUGGUAUGGUUUUAGAAAUUGUAAGGAAAUAGUGAAGUAAAGUUAAUUUAGAAUAAAUUAAAAGAUGAUAAAAAUAAAAUAAUUAAGACAUUAAAAUUACAAACAAUAAAAGUUAAGUAAAAAUAAGUAAUAAAAUAUCCUUAAAAACCUAAAUGAAUAAUUAAUAAGAAUUCAAAACUUUAGUAAAUAAAUAGGGAAAAUUAACAUAAAACUUGGGAAAUUAAAUUAAGAAAAAUUUAAAAGAUCUAAAAUUUUAAUAACAAAGAGUUUUCUUUUAUCACUCAUUCAAAACAAAGUCUAUAAUCAUUGAAUAAUUUAUUAACCAGCACAAGUCAAAAUAUGUCACCAACAAGCAUUCAUACUAUCUUACGUUAUUCUUACUUUAUUUAUCUAAAAAGAGCACUUAAAAACAUAAAAAUAAAGUACUACGAAAUCUCUUACUGUAAUCGGAUUGACUUAGCCUUUUGGUAGCGAAGGAAAAGCUUUUAGAAAUCCACCGAACGAGUUUGUGAAACUCCAAACUUUUCAUUUCUUUCUUGCUCCUUAACUUUGUCAAAAGUUUCUCCUCUUUCUUUCUUUAAGAUUAAAAAAAUAAAG